UACGGAGGAUGCAAGCGUUAUCCGGAAUGAUUGGGCGUAAAGCGUCCGCAGGUGGCGAUGUAAGUCUGCUGUUAAAGAGUGAGGCUCAACCUCAUAAGAGCAGUGGAAACUACAUAGCUAGAGUACGUUCGGGGCAGAGGGAAUUCCUGGUGUAGCGGUGAAAUGCGUAGAGAUCAGGAAGAACACCAGUGGCGAAGGCGCUCUGCUAGGCCGUAACUGACACUGAGGGACGAAAGCUAGGGGGGCGAAUGGG
rnacentral:rRNA from 1 species